CCUUAGUUACCAGCACGUUAUGGUGGGCACUCUAAGGAGACUGCCGGUGACAAACCGGAGGAAGUGGGGAUGACGUCAAGUCAUCAUGGCCCUUACGGCCUGGGCUACACACGUGCUACAAUGGUCGGUACAAAGGGUUGCCAAGCCGCGAGGUGGAGCUAAAUCCCAUAAAACCGAUCGUAGUCCGGAUCGCAGUCUGCAACUCGACUGCGUGAAGUCGGAAUCGCUAGUAAUCGUGAAUCAGAAUGUCACGGUGAAUACGUUCCCGGGCCUU
rnacentral:rRNA from 1 species